rnacentral:rRNA from 1 species
AGCGAACGCUGGCGGCAGGCCUAACACAUGCAAGUCGAACGAAGUCUUCGGACUUAGUGGCGGACGGGUGAGUAACACGUGGGAACGUACCUUUUGGUUCGGAACAACUCAGGGAAACUUGAGCUAAUACCGGAUGAGCCCUUAGGGGGAAAGAUUUAUCGCCGAAAGAGCGGCCCGCGUUAGAUUAGCUAGUUGGUGAGGUAAAGGCUCACCAAGGCUACGAUCUAUAGCUGGUCUGAGAGGAUGAUCAGCCGCACUGGGACUGAGACACGGCCCAGACUCCUACGGGAGGCAGCAGUGGGGAAUCUUGCGCAAUGGGCGAAAGCCUGACGCAGCCAUGCCGCGUGAAUGAUGAAGGUCUUAGGAUUGUAAAAUUCUUUUACCAGGGACGAUAAUGACGGUACCUGGAGAAAAAGCCCCGGCUAACUUCGUGCCAGCAGCCGCAGUAA